rnacentral:lncRNA from 1 species
AGAAAGCACUUUCUGGCUGCAGGACUAUAGGGAGAUUACAUCUUCUCAGCCCUCGUCCUAGCAAGGAUAGACUCAUCUUCCUCCAGGAAAGGCCCCUGCGUGCAUGUGCCUGACCACUGUGGCCAGGGGGGUUUCUGGUCACCCAGCUCAUCCACCCACAGAGGAACCAGAGGAGAAACUGUAUAGGCUCGAAGGAGCGGGGGCCCCUUGGGGAAAGACCUACUAUGAGUAAUGUGGCCUUUCUCCCAGAGGCAGAACCUAUUCUUGAUGCUUCCAACCCCAGCCCCGAGUCACCUGCAAAUUCUGUCUGUGGUGUUUGAUUUUGGUCCACUGUAUACUCCUAAGUGGAAACUAAGCACUUGCCUUCUAUAAAGGCUGACUGUGUGUCCCUUCUAACCCUGCUCCCUAAAGCUGACCAGGUCAUGCCCAGGUCAUCUCUUGACUAUUGGGGGAGGGGGGAGGUAGUGUAAAAAUGUUGAUUUUUUUUUUUAACGGGAGACCAAUAUCUCAGUUCUGACUUAGUAGUACAAUUGGUGUGGCUGUGUUUUAAAAUGUUGUUCUAGCCUAGAGGUGGAUCGUGCGAGCUCACAAUGUGCAAUGACUGAAAGGACGUGGUGUCUUUUUUUUUUUUAAUACCUGUGUAUCUGUAACAUGUAAAGGUUUGAUUAAAAAUAAUAAUGAUGAUGUUACCAGUGCCGAAUUAUCAGAUGCCAGUCCCAAGGCAUUUCAUGAUGGUCCAUACCUGUCUGUUUUUACAAGAUGGAAAUUUGAACCCAUCAGGAUUAAAUAUUUUUCGAACGGGAUACACUCGUGAGCCCUCCCACAAGCAGCUCCCUGCUCUGACGUCAGUGGGAACACGUGUUUCGGAACGUGCGCAUCCUUCACACUGAUUGGCGCAGGCAGCACGGUCAACACGCACAGCUCCUCCCCCUUCUGCUCAGAGCUCAUCUUCCCUCCCCCCCCACCCCCCUUAGCUUGCCUUUUGGUAGACUCAUUUUGCCAACAUAAAUAUUCUGACCUCUGCCUGGGGGACCAUCUUUCCAAGUGAUCACAGCCUGAGCCUUUGAAGCCAGCUCUUUGGAGAACUUACAAACCUCAGGGGACAACUCUGGAAGUCCACACACAGCCCUGGAGAAGGAGAAAGGGUUUAGCCUGAAUGGGCACCCUGGGGACUCCGACGAACCAAUGGGUAGCUUCAGGAACCGUAGGCAAAAAGACCUCUUCCUUUGGUGGUGACCUUCCUGUGUCUUCGAUGAGGCCUGGUGAGAUGGCACUCCAGGCCCAGUCUUGUGCGGCACUCGGCACCCACAAAAAAACGGGCGUCUUCUGGGACGCUUGCUCUUUCAUUUAUCAUCAAAUGGAAUUUAAAAAAGGCAAACUUUCUAAGCUAGAAAAAAAUGAAAUGAAAUCAUUUUCCACUUUGUAUAUAUUGCUGCUAAU